UCAAAAACAUGUCCUUUUGUUAAUAAUUUAAGGUCUGACCUGCCCAAUGAAUAUUUAAAUGGCCGCAGUAUUUUGACUGUGCAAAGGUAGCAUAAUCAUUAGUUUUUUAAUUGUAAGCUGGAAUGAAUGGUUUGAUGAGAAAAUAACUGUCUCAAUUUAAUUGUUUUAGAAUUUUAAUUUUAAGUGAAAAAGCUUAAAUUUUGAAGGAAGACGAGAAGACCCUAUAGAGUUUAAUAUUUCUAUAUUAUGAUUGAUUUUAGAUUUGUUUAAAAUUUUUGUAUAGAAUUAUUUUAUUGGGGUGAUAUUAAAAUUUAAUAAACUUUUAAUUUAUUAUAACAUUUUUUUGUGAUUAUUUGAUCCUAAUUUUUAGAUUAUAAGAUAAAAUUACCUUAGGGAUAACAGCGUAAUUUUUUUUAAGAGUUCUUAUCGAAAAAAAAGUUUGCGACCUCGAUGU
rnacentral:rRNA from 1 species